rnacentral:rRNA from 1 species
ACCUGGUUGAUCCUGCCAGUAGUUAUAUGCUUGUCUAGAAAGCUAAGCCAUGCAUGCCUAAGUAUAAACAUACUUAACGUAAAACUGCGAAAGGCUCCGUAAACCAGUUAUAGUAACAUCGAUGAUUAGUUGGAUAACCAUGGCAAUUCCUUGGCUAACACAUAGUUAAACAGUUUCUUCAUUGAAACAGCGUUUGCUAUUUGCCGCCUCUCGAGGUUGGAUGAAUCAUGGCAAUCUGAUGAUUCCUGUCGCAAGAUAGGAUAUAUCAUUGUAGUUUCUGACCUAUCAGGUAGAUGGUAGGGUAACGGCCUACCAUGCCAGUGACGGGUAACGGGGAAUGACGGUUCGGCUCCAGAGAGGAGGCCUGAGAAACGGCCUCUACAUCUACGGAAGGCAGCAGGCGUGCAAAUUAUCCAAUGGGGAAACCCUGAGAUAGUGACAAGCAAUAACAGUGACCCUAUGGGUCAUCUGGAAUGGAUUUAAUCCAAAAACUCUAAUGAGUAGCUAUUGGAGGGCAAGUCUGGUGCCAGCAGCCGCGGUAAUUCCAGCUCCAAAAGCGUAUAUUAAAGUUGUUGCGGUUAAAAAGCUCGUAGUUGGAGCUAGAUCGAUUCAAGGAUUCCGACCUAUGGUUGUUUUCUUGAUCUUUCUUUUCUGGAUACUGCGCUUGCGUAGGAUACAGAGUAUUACUUUGAGCAAAUCAGAGUGCUCGUAGCAGGCUUAAUGCCAUGAAUGUGUUAGCAUGGAAUAAUCAUAUUAAACUUCGGUUUAGUGAUGGUAAACACUGACGUAAUGACCAAAAGGAACAGUCGGGGUGAUCCGUAUUUGGUGGGGAGGGGUGAAAUCCGCAGAUCCACCAAAGACGAACUAAAGCGAAGGCAUUUCACAAGGAUGUUUUCAUUGAUCAAGAACGAAAGUUGGGGUAUCGAAGGCGAUUAGAUACCGUCCUAGUCCUAGCUGUAAACUAUGCCAACUAGGGCUUGAAGAGACUUAUUGAACUCUUCAGUUCCUUCGGGAAACUAAAGUUAUUUGGUUCCGGGGGGAGUAUGGUUGCAAGGCUGAAACUUAAAGGAAUUGACGGAAGGGCACCACCAGGAGUGGAGCCUGCGGCUUAAUUUGACUCAACACGGGGAAACUUACCAGGGCAGAACAUAGUCAGGAUUGACAGAUUGAUCGGUCUUUCUUGAUUCUAUGGAUGGUGGUGCAUGGCCGUUCUUAGUUGGUGGAGUGAUUUGUCUCCUUAAUUGAGAUAACGAACGAGACCAUAACCUGCUUAGUAGAAUGAGUUACUACUGUAGCUUAACCGCUUCUAAGAGGGACUUUGCGUGUCUAACGCAAGGAGGCUUAUGGCAAUAACAGGUCUGUGAUGCCCUUAGAUGCACUGGGAUGCACGCGUGCUACAAUGUUAUUGACAACGGGCUCCUCACUCGAAAGGGUUAGGUAAGCUCCAAUCAAUAACGUUCUGGGGAUUGAUCAUUGUAAUUAUUGAUCAUGAACGUGGAAUUCCUAGUAAACAUGCGUCAUCAUCGUGUGUUGAAUACGUCCCUGCCCUUUGUACACACCGCCCGUCGCUCCUACCGAUUGAGCGUUUUGGUGAAUUGAACGGAGUACCUAGUACAAAGUUCUGUGAACCUGAAUGUUUAGAGGAAGGAGAAGUCGUAACAAGGUUUCCGUAGGUGAACCUGCAGAAGGAUCA